rnacentral:misc_RNA from 1 species
AACGCACCUUGCGCCUCUUGGUAUUCUGAGAGGCAUGCCUGUUUGAGUGUCAUUAAAUUCUCAACUUCAAAAGCUUUGUCUUUUUGAAGCUUGGAUGUGAAGGCUUGCUGGCGUUUUAAAUGUUCAGCUCCUUUGAAAAGUAUUAGUGGACCCGUUUGUGUUCAUCCUUAGUGUGAUAAUUAUCUACGCUAUGGCUUUGAAUGCAUGCUCAUUAGAAUCUUCGAGCUGUUUUACUGCAGUCUUGGUGUGGAGAGUUGCAUGAAUUUGCUCUUUCUGUCUCUUGAGUCAGGAUUGUCUGCUUCAAACCGUCUACAUUGUAGACAAUUUUGAACCAUUUGACCUCAAAUCAGGUAGGAUUACCCGCUGAACUUAA